AUAUCAAUAAGCGGAGGAAAAGAAACCAACAGGGAUUGCCUCAGUAACGGCGAGUGAAGCGGCAAAAGCUCAAAUUUGAAACCUUCGGGAUUGUAAUUUGAAGACCUGGCAUUGAGAAAAGCUAACCCAAGUUACUUGGAAUAGUACGUCAUAGAGGGUGACAACCCCGUCUGGCUAACCGUUUCUCGUGUAUUGCCUUGUCAAAGAGUCGAGUUGUUUGGGAAUGCAGCUCAAAGUGGGUGGUAAACUCCAUCUAAAGCUAAAUACUGGUGAGAGACCGAUAGCGAACAAGUACUGUGAAGGAAAGGUGAAAAGAACUUUGAAAAGAGAGUGAAAUAGUAUGUGAAAUUGUUGAUAGGGAAGGGAAUGCUUGUAGAAUGGGCGAGGUUUCAACUAUCUUUCGAGAUGGUGUACUGCCAACCCCGGGUUAUUGUUAGCGAUUGUUGAGGGAUAAACGAAUUACUUCGGUAAUCCUCCUACCUCAACUCCUGCCAUCAACAACGUAAUACAAGUACUCCAC
rnacentral:rRNA from 1 species